AUUGAACGCUGGCGGCAGGCCUAACACAUGCAAGUCGAGCGAGUGGCGGACGGGUGAGUAAUGUCUGGGGAACUGCCCGAUGGAGGGGGAUAACUACUGGAAACGGUAGCUAAUACCGCAUACCAUCGGAUGUGCCCAGAUGGGAUUAGCUAGUAGGUGGGGUAACGGCUCACCUAGGCGACGAUCCCUAGCUGGUCUGAGAGGAUGCCCAGCCACACUGGGACUGAGACACGGUCCAGACUCCUACGGGAGGCAGCAGUGGGGAAUAUUGCACAAUGGGCGCAAGCCUGAUGCAGCCAUGCCGCGUGUAUGAAGAAGGCCUUCGGGUUGUAAAGUACUUUCAGCGAGGAGGCGUUACUCGCAGAAGAAGCACCGGCUAACUCCGUGCCAGCAGCCGCGGUAAUAC
rnacentral:rRNA from 1 species